rnacentral:rRNA from 1 species
CCUACGGGAUGCAGCAGUGGGGAAUAUUGCACAAUGGGCGCAAGCCUGAUGCAGCCAUGCCGCGUGUAUGAAGAAGGCCUUCGGGUUGUAAAGUACUUUCAGCGAGGAGGAAGGCGUUAAGGUUAAUAACCUUAGUGAUUGACGUUACUCGCAGAAGGAGCACCGGCUAACUCCGUGCCAGCAGCCGCGGUAAUACGGAGGGUGCAAGCGUUAAUCGGAAUUACUGGGCGUAAAGCGCACGCAGGCGGUUUGUUAAGUCGGAUGUGAAAUCCCCGGGCUCAACCUCGGAAUUGCAUUUGAAACUGGCAGGCUAGAGUCUUGUAGAGGGGGGUAGAAUUUCAGGUGUAGCGGUGAAAUGCGUAGAGAUCUGAAGGAAUACCAGUGGCGAAGGCGGCCCCCUGGACAAAGACUGACGCUCAGAUGCGAAAGCGUGGGGAGCAAACAGGAUUAGAUACCCGCGUAGUC